rnacentral:tRNA from 1 species
GCCCUGGUGCUGCAAUGGUUAAGCAGUUAGCUGCUGACCGAAAGGUCAGUGGUUUGAAUCCACUCAGAGGCU